rnacentral:rRNA from 1 species
UACGAAGGGGGCAAGCGUUGUUCGGAAUUACUGGGCGUAAAGCGCGUGUAGGCGGUUGUCCAAGUUGGAUGUGAAAGCCUUGAGCUCAACUCAAGAAAUGCAUUCAGGACUGGGCGGCUAGAGGACCGGAGAGGAUAGUGGAAUUCCCAGUGUAGUGGUGAAAUACGUAGAGAUUGGGAAGAACACCAGUGGCGAAGGCGGCUAUCUGGACGGUUUCUGACACUAAGACGCGAAAGCGUGGGGAGCAAACAGG